UACGUAGGGUGCGAGCGUUGUCCGGAAUUAUUGGGCGUAAAGAGCUCGUAGGCGGUCUGUCGCGUCGAUCGUGAAAACUUGGGGCUUAACCCUGAGCUUGCGGUCGAUACGGGCAUGACUGGAGUUCGGCAGGGGAGACUGGAAUUCCUGGUGUAGCGGUGAAAUGCGCAGAUAUCAGGAGGAACACCGGUGGCGAAGGCGGCGUUCUGGACUGUAACUGACACUGAGAAACGAAAGCCAGGGUAGCAAACGGG
rnacentral:rRNA from 1 species